rnacentral:tRNA from 1 species
GGUUUAUUUAUCGGUAGAUUGCAAAUUUACUAAAGCUUAGAGCAUAAGCCU